CAGUCGCCGCGGGAAUACGAGGGGGGCAAGCGUUGUUCGGAUUUAUUGGGCGUAAAGGGCUCGCAGGCGGUUUCUUAAGUCUGAUGUGAAAGCCCCCGGCUCAACCGGGGAGGGUCAUUGGAAACUGGGAAACUUGAGUGCAGAAGAGGAGAGUGGAAUUCCACGUGUAGCGGUGAAAUGCGUAGAGAUGUGGAGGAACACCAGUGGCGAAGGCGACUCUCUGGUCUGUAACUGACGCUGGGGAGCGAAAGCGUGGGGAGCGAACAGGAUUAGAUACCCGGGUAGUCCCUGUCUCUUAUAC
rnacentral:rRNA from 1 species